rnacentral:rRNA from 1 species
UACGUAGGAGGCGAGCGUUGUCCGGAAUCAUUGGGCGUAAAGAGCGUGUAGGCGGCUCGGUAAGUCCGCUGUGAAAGUCCAGGGCUCAACCUUGGAAUGCCGGUGGAAACUGUCGAGCUAGAGUCCGGAAGAGGCGAGUGGAAUUCCUGGUGUAGCGGUGAAAUGCGCAGAUAUCAGGAGGAACACCAAUGGCGAAGGCAGCUCGCUGGGACGGUACUGACGCUGAGACGCGAAAGCGUGGGGAGCAAACAGG